CUUUGGAUCUAAUAUUCAGUUCUUCUCCUUUUCCAUCAUCUUGUGUUGUUUGAUCCGCUCGAGAAGGGUCAAGGCAUCCCAUUCUCUCCACAGAUUCACACUCAAGCCAGAGGUUGUCAUCCUGACUUUUACUUCUGAGUUACAUCUGGCUUCAAAAUUUGAGCCCAAGCUAUUGAUCCCGCAAGGCUGCACUAUUUCCUGGUUGAAGAUUUUCAUGUCCUUCUCGGGUGGAUUAAAUUUCAUUUAUAGAAAUUACUCAUUGUUUUGACUGCAUCUGCUGAUUGACACCUCCUCCCUUGCGCAUUAGUUAAUUUCUUACAAUGUGUUCAUAAAAAGAUGGGUUCUUUGAAAUUUUCCGUUGCCUCAGAGUUUCAUGACAGAAAAAAGAUUUGAGGCUUUGGGAAAUGUUUAUGUGUUGGCAGCUGAUUGGAUUGUUUGUAAUUCAUGGGUGAGUGGCAAGAAGCUAGUGAGCGGAAACCAUUCCUAUGGUGGUUUCUGAGUUGGUAUGUCCUUGAAAAGAAAAGUUAAUGUCCCAUCUUCUUUUGUGGCCGGUUGUUUCAGAUGUGGUCUUAAUGAUCACAAUAGAUUUAAAACAUUCAUAGUUUCUGGGAUGGUUGGAGUUCAUGGUAGUAAAUCACUGAUUGAAGUAGUUGAAGAGGCCCAAUUAGUUGAUCAAUUAAAUUUGUUGGGUCCUAGCUUAACUUUGAAAAAUCCAAUUUUUAAAUCUGUAGAUAUCCAAACUAAAGCUACUAUGAAUGCAGAGGAGAAAUAUAUGGCAUUAGAUACUUGGCAUGAAAAGUCUGCGAGACAAAAUUUUCGAGUCCUGUUUAAUUGACAAGUGAGCAGGCAACUAAUAGUGUGGAAGAUGAUUGUAGAUCAAAUGCUGUUCUAUCUGCUAUUGGGCGACAAAUGAUUGGAUGCAUGUUCUAAAACUGAUAGAAAAAAGAACUGAUGAGAAGAUGAUGUGCUUCAUCAAAUGGAUAAGGAGAAAUGGAAAGUUGAAGCAAAAUAUGUCAGUUUGUAAAUUGACCAUCCGAGUAUCUGCUACAAAAGAGGACGGGGAUACGGCUAACAUACUAAUAUCAGAAAUAAUUUCUGAUUCAGAUUGUCAGCUGAACUCUCAAGUAUUUAACCUUUUAUUACAAGUGUGUGCUAAAAGAGGGCUUGUUGAGUGGGGAGCAAAGUGAUUCCACAUGAUGUUAGAAAAAGAGGUGAGGCCUAACACUGUCACUAUUGGCAUGCUUAUGGGUCUUUAUCAGAGAAAGAGCAAUCGUUCAGAAGCCGAGUUUAUCUUUAGCCACAUGAGGACCUGCAAAAUUCACUUUUUCAUGGCCUACUCAUCAAUGAUGACGAUUUACACACGCCUAGGUAUGUAUGACAAGUCUGAGGGAAUUAUCCACUUUAUGGGUGGAGAUGAAGCGGUUCCAGAUUCGGAGAAUUGGUUAGUUCGUCUUAAUGCCUCCAGUGAGCGAGGUAAGCUGAAAGAGGCUGAGUCUGUAUUGACAUUGAUGCAAGAAGCUGAAUUUCCCCCAAUAAUUUUAUGUACAACACCUUGAUCACAGGUUAUGGAGAGCAAACUAAUGUCAAAGCUGCAGAACUUGUAUUUCAUAGGCUCCAAAACAUAGGAUUGGAGCCUGAUGAAAUAAAAUAUAGGUCCAUGAUUGAAGGUUGUGAUUGGGCUGACUAUUAGAUAGAGGCUAUGCAAAAUUAUGUGGAAAUCAAGUGGUCAGGAUUAAAUCGUAACUGUUCAAACUUCUGCACGAUGGUCAACUUGUAUGCCGGGCAUGGGGACGACAGUGAUAUUGUUCAAAACUUAGUAGAUUAGAUAUGAGGUCGGCUUGCUGCCAAUACUCGUCCAUGUUGAGUAGAUAAAGUUCCUCAAAUUUUAUUACCUUCUUUUUGUGAUGGAAUUUUAGUGGAUCACACAUCAACUUGUGUUUGUCAUGUCCUAUAUACAAUAUUCCCUCUUGGAUGAUGCUUUCCAACCCUUGCAGGAAAAAAGGUUGAAGUCUUCAAAUUAUGAAGACUGGUUGUACCAUUUACUGAUAUGUUCCUGCAUGGAGGCCGGUGGUUACGAGGAUGCUAUUAGCAGCACAUCACUUCUUCUGCGAUAGAUGUAUUCAGUAUCCUGAGCAAUUCACUGAAGCAGAGGAUCUUUACUUGAAGUUGAAAGCAUCAGGGGUCACUUUUGAUCUUAUUGCUUACAGUAUAGUUGUGAGAAUGCAUAUUAAAGCAGAGCCUUUGAAGGAUGCUUGUUUAGUUGUGGAUAUGAUGGAAAACCAGAAAGAUAUUGUUAUUUAUGGAUAUGCUUGAAUUUAUUAGCAAUGCGGGAUGCUAGAAAAAUUGGCAAAUACCUACUAUUUGACGCUGAGAUUUGGAGGUACAUGGGAUGAGGCAAUAUAUAAUUGUGUGAUAAAUUGCUGUGGCCAAGUCUUGGUAGUGGAUGAGCGCACCAUGUUUCAAUGAGAUGAUUCAUUGUGGAUAUGUUACUAACACCAUACUCCUUUUGUUCUUUUUUAUCUGUCAUUUUUUAAU